GAAAAAAACAAACGAAAGGACACAAAAAGGACACGCAAUAACAAAGCGAAACAAAGCGCAACAGACGCAAAGCACACACACAACAAACGCCAGCCCCCCUUUGGCCACCAAUUUGGGGCACCCCCAUCGCCCCACUGUGCUCCCCCGGCUUCCACGAAGGAUUCACAGAAUCCAGGACAUACGUAAUUCCUAACAAAACAAACGAGAGACAGUGGUGAGGAGAGAGAGAGAGGAGAGAAGGAGAGCACUCCACUCCUCAUGUAAGCGAAGCAGAAGCCUGGAAGAGCCCCUCAAAUCGACCAAUUUGCUAAACUAAAAGUCUUAAGAAUAUCAACUGCUGCUGCAAACUGUAUGACUGAUUUAUGAACUGGGGCACAGAAACCCCCCAAGAAAUUAACUCCCUAAGAACUUUAUAUAAAGCCUUUACACCCAAAACAAAAACCUUUUGCCACCUUUUUCGAGGAAUGAGUGGCCUGCUAUCGCUAGAAGCUUCAGCUAUUUAUUGAGCCAAGUAAUCAAGUAGCUAGCUAACACUUGCAAUCAAUCAAUCAAUCAAUCAGCAGAUAUACAAAAGCCACAACAUAGAAGAAGGGCACACAUUGCAGAGUAGAGACAAAGGAGAAGCAUCAUCAGGACUUCGGGGAGAGAAGGAAUGCAGCGGUGUCCCUACAUACAUGAGAUGCGAGAACGCUUGCUGGACCAGCCACGGGAGACACUGCAAUUGGAAAACAUGGAGCGGGCCAAUCUGCUCGACAAUCGACAAUCGGCCUCCGAAUCGAAUCAGGUCGGCACUGUGGUCAAGCUACAGGGCGAUGGCUAUCACACGAGUCCUGCACAUCAGCGCACACCGCUAGUGCCACACGAUCUGGGCGAGGACUUCAAUUUGGAUUUCGACGAUGACUUCCCCAUCGAUGCCCGGAGACCAAAAAAUGCAAACGGCAUACAUCAACCGGUUCUGACGCGCCCACAGCCAAGGGUUUGCUACACGUUCAAGCCAAAUCCAAAUAAACACAGUUUUAUGCCAGCGAAAAUCACGGUACAGGGCACAUAUCAAACAAAUCCAAUAACGGGACCAAUCGAACUCUGGACAUCGCUAUUCAUCGUGACCAGCCUGGUGUACGCGAUCCUCCUGAUCGUCGUGUGCAUCGCAUACGUGAUCAGCGAUGUGACCACCCACCGCCUGCCAGUGCUCUACUAUGAGACAUUCUUCACGUAUCUCUACGGCGUCAGCAUACUCUUCCUCCUCUACGUAUUCUGUUUCCUGCUGCAGGAGAGCUCUUGCUGCAAUGGCGGCAAUGGCAAUGGCAAUGGCAGCAAGCCGAAACCCCAACCCAAGGAGAAGAAAUCGAAGAAAGCCAAGAAUGCCGAUCCAGCCGAUUCGAAGGAAGCGAAGGGCUCCAAGGACUCUGGCAAAGCAGCUGUCAAAGGCGCCGCAUAUCAAGAAGCACCCGUGGAUGCCGAGGUGGCCGUCACCCCGAAGAAUGUGCGCAAGAGGAAGACCACUCAUAGCGAUCCGACGCACGGCAGCUUCUUCCUGCGAGUGGGAGCCAUUGCAUUCGGUCUGGGCGCCAUGAUCUACAUUGGACUGGAGUUCGGAUCGUUCUUCGAGAUACCCUUCGAUUCGCCCUGCCAUCACAUACUGAUCGGUGUGAAUCCGCUGCUCCAGAUGAUUUUCACCUUUAUGCAAAUGUACUUUAUAUUCAUGAAUGCACGGACUAGGCCACCAUUUCAGCUGAACAUCCACCGCUUCAAGGUGAUUGCCCGCUUCGGGCUGAUGCAUGUGGUGGCCACCAAUAUUUGCGUGUGGAUCCGAACGCUGGUGAAGGAGUCGCUGCUGGAGAUCACCAUUUGGCACCAGAAGAACGAGGCCGAUCCGGAGGCUUCCUCCAUAGCCCACUCGGUGCGGCAGCAUGCGCUGCGGCAUGCGGGGACCGUUCUGCGCACCCACACCGGUCCGAACAGCGAGUUCGAGGUGCUGGAUGGGGAGGAUCUGCUGCCCAAGGAUGUCUACAAGAGCGACAAUGUGCUGUCGAAGCUGGUGCGCAACACCGUCGACGGGAUCUCGAAGAGCCUGGGCAUGGGCGGGGAUGUGGCCAGCACCACGGCGAGCAGCAUUGUCAGCAGCACCACCACCAGGGCGCCGUACACGACGGCCGGCUAUCAAUGGCACAGCACUACUAUGGCCCGCAAGCUGAAGAAGUUUAUCACAAGUGCCACCACAGCAGCCACCACAACGGGCGGCAGCCCCAGCACCAUUGCCAGCACCACCACCACCUUCGGCACAACCACCACCACCAGCCCAUUGACCACCACCACCGCCAUACCCAUUUCCGCCGGCAGCACUGCAACGGACGCCAUCAGCAGCACGACCAGCGAAUCGACCUUCAGCGGCCUCCAGCGACUCCUCACCAGCGCUGCCCCGAGUCUGACGCCAGUCGAUGGGUCCGCCUCCCCGGCGUUGCCCGCUGCUGCCACUGGCAGCGUCUCCUCGUUCCUCAACAGCUUUGUCGCCUCCACGCCCAGCAGCGGCAUCGGUGCCAGCACCGAGGGCCCAGUGAACAUCAUGAACAACCUGUUCGGACCCGGCAUGGAGAACAGCUUCCAGACCUACUCGGACAUAUCGCACGAGGAGUCGAGCGGCGGACUGGUGGCCUUCGAGAAUCUGGAGAGCCUGGACAGCAUUUACCCGGCGGCGCUGUCUUCCAACAUUGGCACACUCAACUCCACCGCCUGCGGGCGCAUCGAUAUUAUGGGGACCAUUGUGUACGACUCGGCGCCGUAUCUGUAUCCGUUCAUUAUUGAGUAUUCGCUGAUCGGUGCGGUGGUUUUGUAUGUCAUGUGGAAGCACAUCGGCCGCUAUCCGGGACGGAUGAACGACGAGGAUCUGGAGCACCGUUUGGAGGUGAUGCUAUCGCGUCGUGCCGUCGCCAUGGCGCAGCAGGCACGCUCCGGUCGCGUCGACUGCGUUGGCUCGUCGAAGGGACUGUUCUUUGGUCUGCUGCUGUUGGUCGGCGCCCUCAUUUGCCUGAUACUCUUCUUCGUCUUGGUGCGUCAUCAGCAGUUCUCGCUGUUGGCCAUUUAUCUGGCCGAUGCCAGCCACUGCAUCCUCAUGGCCUUCGCCAUACUGGCCAUCAUAGUGGGCUUCAUCAGGGUCAAGAAUCUGAAGUUCCGCUGCGAGGAGCAAUCCAAUCUGAAUGACAUCUUGUUGCGCAUCUCGGCCUUUGGUCUCUUCACCUACUCUGUGUUCAGCAUCAUUGCCGGCAGCCUGAAGGUGCUGGAGAGCGAGCCCAGCCUCCUGGUGACGACCACCGGCGGUGUGGCCGUCUUCCAGGUGAUCUUGCAGCUGCUCUUCAUCGCAGACGUAUCGCGGCGUCGCGUCCACUUGCCGGAGCACGAUCGCAGCAAGCCCGGCCGCCAGAUUGUCACCUUCCUACUCAUCUGCAACGUGGCCAUGUUCGCCAUCUACACAUUCGAAGCUCAAAAAGUAUUCGCCAAUCCUGUAAGUAGAUAUGUUCAGCUUGAUUUCUAUGGCUUUGUGCCCUGGUCCAUCAUUCAGCGCAUCACACUGCCGUUGUGCAUCUUCCAUCGGUUCCACAGUGCCGUGACACUCGCCGAGAUCUGGAAGACCACCUACAAGGCACGCCUGGAGUAAGCAGGGAGGCGAUACGCAGGCUGCAGUCAGUCCCCCCCAGGCCGCUGGAUGUCGAGGGAGUUAUGAAAAUGCACCAAACAAAAACCAAAAUGUAGCGAACCCACAAACCAAAACGCAAACAGAAAACAAGUGAAAAAAAUUUCGGGUCGCAAAAACUUUUGUAAGAAUUUAAGCGAAACACAAAUGGCAUUGCAACAACUUCAUGGCAUCAAAAACAAAAA